UCCGGUAAACUCGUUUCAACUCUUACGUGCUAAGAAUAUUUUUGUGUGUUGUUAUUUUGCUUAAUUAUAAUUAUUAUGGCAUUUUCGUUGAAAAUUAUGUUCAGUAAAGGAAAAUCUAAAACCGGUGAAAGUAGUCGCCAAAAUACUACCCCUCCCCCGGCUCCCCGACCUAGAAAAGAUAAGCAAGUUCAAAGUAGUAGCCAACCUAGAAAUCUUAAUGAAC
rnacentral:lncRNA from 1 species